rnacentral:lncRNA from 1 species
GAAGUAAUCACCAACAAUGUUUUCCUGUUUAGUGGCUCAAAUUGAAUAUAUAUGACAAUAUAUGACAAAAGGGGGCUAGGAUAAUUCAGGUAUAUUGAAAGGGGUACUUACAAUUACAAAUGUGGCACAUUCUUCUGAUUAAACUCGUAUUCUGUUAGAGUAACAUUGGUCACCUGCAAACAACCAAUAAAUGUGUGAUUUCUCUUAAUUUAGUAUAGGGGCAGUGGCCGGUCAAGAAACUGGUAGUAAGAACAGCAAUGCACUUCAUUUGCCUUCCUCAACAUGUGCGGUACGACCAACUCUGUGAAUAUAUCCUGAAAGUGAAUUUGCAAACAAUAAUUAUAGCAAGCAACAUGUAGAAAAUUUCACAGGCUGUGUUUAGAAUCGCCAACCUUUG